AGGACUAACGCUGCGUCGCUUGAGCAAUGUUUCUCUUUGCUCCAAAGUCAAUUCCUUCGCCUUGCUCUUUUCUCACAGAGCUCAAUAAAAGUCCCGGAGAUCUGUAAAAUGUGGACGUGUGGAGAGGCAUUCACAUAGGAACUCAGACGUGGCAUUAGCUGUACCCUCCAGGAAUGUACCGAGCCCUUUCAGCAAACACCAGCCUCAAACACCAACUGAAACUCCCUUCAAUGGCUGGAAGGGACGCAAAGCGUAACGCUUCAUUUGUUGUGAUCGCACUCUGUCUCUUUAUUAUCUCCACAUCACUCUCAUGGAGAUGUAGUCGAUAUGAAUCUCUGUCCCGGUCCUUCUCUCAGUCAGUCCAGGCGUCGGCUUUACAUGGAGGCUGACAAGAAGGAGACAGCAGGGAUACGCUUCCAGCAGAUUCAGCGAAAUGUUGUGCAUUUCAGGAUAAUGAAGUCACUUCAAAGGUGAGGCCAAACGAGGGUCUGUGCAGUGUCGAGUUGUUCCAGGGUGCUGCUCCUGUGUUUGUGCACUCGGGGCUGGGGUUAGGACUCUCACUCUAAGUUAAGUACCAGGAUUAUUUCAGUUCAUUCUAUCAAACCAAUUGCAGAGUUAUUUAGUUAAAAACUGAUUUAUUAUUAGAUGUUAAGAUACAGCCCUACCCUCUUUUAAACAUCUGUUAUUUUUCCUAGGAUAUUUUGUUUCUGUUAUUUAUUAUUUUUGUGUUGUAAUUCUACAGAACUGACACAGAGCAAAUAUGCUGCUGCUAGCAAUUAAAACAGUUCUCUUCUGAGCACUGAAUGAGCCAUGCCAUUUGUUAUUAACACAGAACAAACUAAUUUAGGCAUCAGUCGAAUGUCUGUAAACAGUAAAUUCACCGUCACAACAUAGGUCAACAGGAUGCGGUAGAAAACCCAAACUGUGAGCUUUCAUGGCCCUCCAUGUCACUCUGAACAUCACUGGAAGCCAGUAGAGGAUGUUUAUGACUGUGAGCUUCCUCUUCGUGGCAUGCGUGUGCUCAUCUAGUUUCACACUUUUUUUUGUCUUUGCAGAACACUUCUGUAGAUUUCCCAAGACGCUCGACUGUCUAUUU